rnacentral:rRNA from 1 species
UAGGUCCCGAGCGUUGUCCGGAUUUAUUGGGNGUAAAGCGAGCGCAGGCGGUUAGAUAAGUCUGAAGCUAAAGGCUGUGGCUUAACCAUAGUACGCUUUGGAAACUGUUUAACUUGAGUGCAGAAGGGGAGAGUGGAAUUCCAUGUGUAGCGGUGAAAUGCGUAGAUAUAUGGAGGAACACCGGUGGCGAAAGCGGCUCUCUGGUCUGUAACUGACGCUGAGGCUCGAAAGCGUGGGGAGCGAACAGGAUUAGAUACCCUGGUAGUNCACGCCGUAAACGAUGAGUGCUAGGUGUUAGGCCCUUUCCGGGGCUUAGUGCCGCAGCUAACGCAUUAAGCACUCCGCCUGGGGAGUACGACCGCAAGGUUGAAACUCAAAGGAAUUGACGGGGGCCCGCACAAGCGGUGGAGCAUGUGGUUUAAUUCGAAGCAACGCGAAGAACCUUACCAGGUCUUGACAUCCCGAUGUCCGCUCUAGAGAUAGAGUUUUACUUCGGUACAUCGGUGACAGGUGGUGCAUGGUUGUCGUCAGCUCGUGUCGUGAGAUGUUGGGUUAAGUCCCGCAACGAGCGCAACCCUUAUUGUUAGUUGCCAUCAUUCAGUUGGGCACUCUAGCGAGACUGCCGGUAAUAAACCGGAGGAAGGUGGGGAUGACGUCAAAUCAUCAUGCCCCUUAUGACCUGGGCUACACACGUGCUACAAUGGCUGGUACAACGAGUCGCAAGUCGGUGACGGCAAGCUAAUCUCUUAAAGCCAGUCUCAGUUCGGAUUGUAGGCUGCAACUCGCCUACAUGAAGUCGGAAUCGCUAGUAAUCGCGGAUCAGCACGCCGCGGUGAAUACGUUCCCGGGCCUUGUACACACC